CCGUGCGGAUGGCAGCAUGGCCGUACCUCUCGGCUCUUAUCUUUGGACGUCGCGUUUUCAAUGAACUUUCUUGACAUGAUUGAUAAAUUCAUGAACAUUAUUUGCACCAUACUCAUGUGCAUUCAGAACUGAUUCAGCAACAUAACUGUUGCACUUCUAGACCAAUUAUUGCUUUGAGGCUUGAGUGCUUUGGCAAUGUUGGACGUACAAGACUCAAAAACCCUUGGCAUUUCUCUCGCGGGCCAGAAAAGCUGGGACACCUCUCCAACAUAUUGUUGAGAAUCCGAAUGUGUACCAGCCAGCAGUGAGCUACCAGUUGCCAGCCAAGCUUCAAGCGACUGUUUCUCGAGUUGCAGAUAAAGGGGAACAUCAUUGUGCUCAAUGACUCUCGAGAGUCUGCUACCAGAUGGGCGAUGUUAUCUAUGGAUAUGUGGUAGUGGACGUAUAUUGGAGGUUCACCAAUGGACCAAGUCCUCAUCUUGUUUUUGCCAAACUGGAUGAUGUGGAAGAUGAUUGAAACGCAGAAAAUGAGAAGACGGACAAUGUUAAAACUCCCUCUGAUGUCUCCCAGUUGUGACCCAAGGUCAUGGGUAAAGUACUUGCAACAAAGAUUCAUGAAUGAGAUGAUAAGAAGGAGGUUGUGUGCUGCCAAAUCUUCACUGAGCUGAGGAGAUAAGAAGGAGGUUGUGUGCUGCCAAAUCUUCACUGAGCUGAGGAGAUAAGAAGGAGGUUGUGUGCUGCCAAAUCUUCACUGAGAUGAGGAGAUAAGAAGGAGGUUGUGUGCUGCCAAAUCUUCACUGAAAUGAGGAGAUACCAACCAGCAGGAACUGGCAUGGGCCAUGCAAAAGAUUUGUUUUGAGAAGUCUCUGAUGACGUAUUGAUUACAACUGGAGAUGUUUGAAGGAACAUUGCUGGAGGAUACGGGGAAUGGUGACUUCAACCAGACCCAUUUGGAUGAGCAUCAAUGGAGGAUACUCAUGCAUUGAGCCAACUAGACCACUUGAUUGAGAUAAUGACAUUGGAGAUGAGAUAUACUUUUUGGACUAUUGUACCACCAGCUGCUCUGUCAAGUCUAGCCAGAUUACUCUCCACUACAAGAUUAGCCCUUCAAGUGAUGUAUGGAUGUUUCAGACUACCCAAAUGCUUAAUGGACAGCUGCAAAGAGCCAACAACAAACCACUUGAUUGAGACGAUGACCUUUUUGGUCCGUCCACCAGCUGAAGAACGACUGUGUCAUACAUGGG